CUCAAAGAUUAAGCCAUGCAAGUGGUAAUAACCAGACGGUUUAAAUAAGUGUACAUAAAAAAUAGCAGAUAAAGCUUUUUAUCACUUAUGCAACUGUAGAUAGCUGCGUAAUCAGUUACACUUGUCUUGACUAAGCGCAUUUUUUGUUAAAAAAACAAUUAAAUAAACCAAUUUUAUUGGAUAACUUAGGGAAAGUUUGGCUAAUACGUACGAUAUUAAAAAAUUAAACCAAAAAAACUUUUUAACAUUUUCUUGCUCUUAUUGGAUUGUGAUCUAGAUUUAUCUAGUGAACAUUAUACGCAACAUGAACGACAAUAAGCACCUCUCUUUAAUUUAUUAAAGUGACGAGCAGACUUACGAAUUUAUAUUUGUAGGCAUGUCAUACAAGUAUCUGAUUUAUCAUGAAACUUUGUAGGCAAGUGUAUUUUUGGACCUCCUAUUCACUGACAAAUUGCUAUGAGAAGCUUCAUCUCAGCCAGAAGGAGCACAAUGAGAGACCGCUCUUAGUUCUAAGGAACGCAGCAGGCGCGUAAAUUGCCCAAUGCUAGUACAUUUAUUUAUAUAAUAAAUACCGUGUUGUUAAAAAAAAGUAAAAAAAUAUUCCUUUUUUUUUACAUUAAACAAAUAUAAUCCUUGUUCACGUUAUUUACUCAAAUAUUGAGUGAGGCAGUGACAAGCUGUAACGAUUGAGUAUAUAUAAAAUAGGAAAGGAUGAGGUUGAGGCUGUCUUUCGACUUCCAUAUAUCUCUCCUUUUAUCUAUUUGCUCAUUUGUAAUGCAGUGAGUGUAGAUAACUCAGAAUCAUUAUUUUUUAAUAAUUUUAUUAAUUGUUGAGAAAUGAUUAUCUGAAAUUUCAAGUGGAGGGCAAGUCUGGUGCCAGCAGCCGCGGUAAUACCAGCUCCACUGGCCUAUACAAUAAUUGUUGCGGUUAAAAGGCUCGUAGUUGGAUUGAACUAAAUAAAAGAAGAAAAUUAAAAAAUUAUUUUUUAAAAAAAAAUUACCUUUAAAAAAUACCAAUUUUUUUUUUAAAAAUUAUUUUUUUUCUUUUCAACACUGUGAAUAAAUCAGAGUGUACCAAACAUGUCUUUUAUGAAUUUAUUUUCAUUAGCGCAUUGAAUGUCUUAUCAUGGAAUGUUGCUUAUUUUUGUCUCUUUUAGGGGCAAAACUGUCGAUGGGGAUAGUUGGNGAAGAUAGUACUGCAGGGCGAGGGGUGAAAUCCGUUGACCCUUGCAAGACUACCAAAAGCGAAAGCAAUCUUCUAGAUUAUACCCUUUGUGAUUAAAGAUAUUCACCUUUUCACAUUCAUGUUUGAACCGAAAUUAAAAUUAUUAUUUUUUUUUUUUUUUUUUUAAAAAAAAAAAAAAAUUAAAANUAAAAAUAAUAAAAAAUAAUNUUUUUAAACCCUGUUCAGUAAUUGUUUGACCGAAAUUGAUUAUGUUUAUCACUACACAAUGAAGAACGAAGGUCUGGCGAUCAAAGAGGAUCAGAUACCCUCGUAGCCCAGUCGUCACAUCAAACGAUGGGCUCUCAAUUGCAUAUUUUAUUUUAAUAUAUUAUAUUAAAACAAUUCUCCGACCUGCAAAUCUAAUUUAAUUUUUUUGCUUGUAGUUAUUUUUAAUAACUCGCUUAAAUUUUUUAUUCAACCUGCAUUUAAAGUCGUUGUAGAAUAUUUCUGAUAUUUUUUAGUUUUUUAUGAUUUUUAUCAUUCUUAAUUAAAAAUUGAUUGUAUAAGCUUUGCGCUCAUUUAAAAAUUGUGUGAGAUGUAAGAGAACACUAAUUAAGAUAUUAUGUAAUACUGAAGACUGAGAUUUUAGCCUCGCGCUGUCUGAUCUUUCUAAAGUCAUUAUUUGUUUUAAUUUUUUAAAGCUUCUCAAUGCACGCCUUAGGCAUGUGCUUACUUGCAGAAAUGUUUGAGACAUUCCCCUCCUGGGGUAGUAUGCACGCAAGUGUGAAACUUGAAGGAAUUGACGGAAGGGCACCACAAGAACGCGUGGAGCAUGUGGCUUAAUUUGACUCAACGCGGGGAACCUUACCGGGUCCGGACACACUGAGGAUUGACAGAUAAAUUAUUUAGGAUAAUUUAUUAUUUUAAAUAAGUAAACAUGAAGAUCUUUCAUGAUUGUGUGAUAGGUGGUGCAUGGCCGUUCUUAGUUCGUGGAGUGAUUUGUCUGCUUAAUUGCGUACUUAAAAAUAGUAGANCCGAUCAAAUAAUUAGUCUUUAUUUUUUAAAUAAUUGCUAGUUGUUGGAUUUAUUAUUUAAGCAACGAACGUGACCGCGACCUCAUAUUAUCAAACAAUUGUAAUGGGUACAACAACUUAUUAUAAUUGUUAUUCAGAAUCGUUAGUCUUUUAAAGACUACCUUUUUGUCUAAUUUGAGGGACAGCUGUAUUUUAAAGACAGAGGAAGGGCGCGUCAAUAACAGGUCUGUGAUGCCCUUAGAUGUUCCGGGCUGCACACGUGCUACAAUGAUUGUUUCAAUGAGCAUCUAAAUACUGAAAUAAUUAAAUAAGCAAUUAUUUGAUUAUUUUUAAAACCUUCUGCGAUAGUUUAACGGAUUCUGGAGAACGUAUCUUAUCUUCCUCAGAAUCUUGAAGGUAAUCUAUUAGCAGUAACGAUUUCCCUUUAUAGCCAAUUUUUUUAUACCCGUUUUGUUAAUUGCCUUGCUGAGAUUGAAUUUAUUCAAUUUCUUGCAAUUAUUAAAAACUUGGUAUUGCGCCUCAUCAGUUCGUGGUGGGGAUAGACCAUUGUUAAAAAGAUUUUCACUUGUGAAAUGAUUAUGGAAUUGUUGGUCUUGGUUUAACUAGGAAUGCCUUGUACAAGUUAGUUCAACAAACUACUUGGAAUAUGUCCCUGCCCUUUGUACACACCGCCCGUCGCUCUUACCGAUGGACUAUUUUGUGAGUUUAUUGGACAAUAAUUGAAUGGAUUUAUUCAUUCUACGAUUGAAAAAUAAACGAACAAUGUGGUCUAAAGGAAAGAGAAGUCGUAACAAGGCAUCGGUAGGUGAACCUGCAGAAGGAUCA
rnacentral:rRNA from 1 species